CGUGGGCAAUCUGCCCUGCACUCUGGGACAAGCCCUGGAAACGGGGUCUAAUACCGGAUACUGAUCAUCUUAGGCAUCUUGGAUGAUCGAAAGCUCCGGCGGUGCAGGAUGAGCCCGCGGCCUAUCAGCUAGUUGGUGAGGUAAUGGCUCACCAAGGCGACGACGGGUAGCCGGCCUGAGAGGGCGACCGGCCACACUGGGACUGAGACACGGCCCAGACUCCUACGGGAGGCAGCAGUGGGGAAUAUUGCACAAUGGGCGAAAGCCUGAUGCAGCGACGCCGCGUGAGGGAUGACGGCUUCGGGUUGUAAACCUCUUUCAGCAGGAGAGCG
rnacentral:rRNA from 1 species